CUUACUUAUGGGGCACUUAUGGGGCCGUUAUGGGGCAGUUAUGGGGCAGUUAUGGGGCACCCGGGGGACAUGUAUAGGGCACUUAUGGGGCAGCUAUGGGGCAGCUAUGGGUCACUUAUGGGGCAGCUAUGGGCACUUAUGUGGCACUUAAUUAUAGGGCACUUAUGGGGCAGUUAUGGGGCAGCUAUGGGUCACUGAUGGGUCACUUAUGGGUCACUUAUGGGGCAGCUAUGGGUCACUUAUGGGGCACUUAUGGGGCACUUAUGUGGCACUUAUGGGGCAGCUAUGGGGCACCUAUGGGUCACUUAUGGGGCACUGAUGGGUCACUUAUGGGGCACUUAUGGGUCACUUAUGGGGCACUUAUGGGGCACUUAUGUGGCACUUAAUUAUAGGGCACUUAUGGGGCAGUUAUGGGGCAGCUAUGGGUCACUUAUGGGGCAGCUAUGGGGCACUGAUGGGGCAGCUAUGGGGCACUGAUGGGUCACUUAUGGGGCAGCUAUGGGGCAUCUAUGGGGCACUUAUGGGGCACUUAUGGGGUCACUUAUGGGGCAGCUAUGGGGCACUUAUGGGACAGUUAUGGGCAGGUUAUGUUCACUUAUGGUCAUUAUGGGCACUGGAUGGGCAGCUAUGGGGCCAGCCUAAUGGGGCACUUAUGGGGCAGCUAUGGGGCACUUAUGGGGCACUUAUGGGGGCACUUAUGGGACAGUUAUGGGGCAGGUAUGUGUCACUUAUGGGUCACUUAUGGGGCACUUAUGGGGCAGCUAUGGGGCAGCUAUGGGGCAGCUAUGGGUCACUUAUGGGUCACUUAUGGUGCACUGAUGGGUCACUUAUGGGGCAGCUAUGGGGCAGCUAUGGGGCACUUAUGUGGCACUUACUUAUGGGGCACUUAUGGGUCACUUAUGGGGCACUUAUGGGGCACUUAUGUGGCACUUACUUAUGGGGCACUUAUGGGGCCGUUAUGGGGCAGCUAUGGGGCAGCUAUGGGUCACUUAUGGGGCAGCUAUGGGUCACUUAUGGGGCAGCUAUGCGUCACUGA
rnacentral:lncRNA from 7 species